CUGCGUACCUUUUGUAUAAUGGGUCAGCGACUUAUAUUCUGUAGCAAGGUUAACCGAAUAGGGGAGCCGGAGGGAAACCGAGUCUUAACCGGGCGUUAAGUUGCAGGGUAUAGACCCGAAACCCGGUGAUCUAGCCAUGGGCAGGUUGAAGGUUGGGUAACACUAACUGGAGGACCGAACCGACUAAUGUUGAAAAAUUAGCGGAUGACCUGUGGCUGGGGGUGAAAGGCCAAUCAAACCGGGAGAUAGCUGGUUCUCCCCGAAAGCUAUUUAGGUAGCGCCUCGUGAAUUCAUCUCCGGGGGUAGAGCACUGUUUCGGCUAGGGGGCCAUCCCGGCUUACCAACCCGAUGCAAACUGCGAAUACCGGAGAAUGUUAUCACGGGAGACACACGGCGGGUGCUAACGUCCGUCGUGAAGAGGGAAACAACCCAGACCGCCAGCUAAGGUCCCAAAGUCAUGGUUAAGUGGGAAACGAUGUGGGAAGGCCCAGACAGCCAGGAUGUUGGCUUAGAAGCAGCCAUCAUUUAAAGAAAGCGUAAUAGCUCACUGGUCGAGUCGGCCUGCGCGGAAGAUGUAACGGGGCUAAACCAUG
rnacentral:rRNA from 1 species